rfam:Saccharothrix sp. NRRL B-16348 P442contig14.1, whole genome shotgun sequence.
GGUAGCGUGCCCGAGCGGCCUAAGGGACACGUCUUGAAAACGUGCGAGGGUUGAUCCCCUCCGUGGGUUCAAAUCCCACCGCUACCG